rnacentral:rRNA from 1 species
GCCUAACACAUGCAAGUCGAACGGUAACAUUUCUAGCUUGCUCUAAGAUGACGAGUGGCGGACGGGUGAGUAAUGCUUGGGAACUUGCCUUUGCGAGGGGGAUAACAGUUGGAAACGACUGCUAAUACCGCAUAAUGUCUUCGGACCAAACGGGGCUUAGGCUCCGGCGCAAAGAGAGGCCCAAGUGAGAUUAGCUAGUUGGUAAGGUAAUGGCUUACCAAGGCGACGAUCUCUAGCUGUUCUGAGAGGAAGAUCAGCCACACUGGGACUGAGACACGGCCCAGACUCCUACGGGAGGCAGCAGUGGGGAAUAUUGCACAAUGGGGGAAACCCUGAUGCAGCCAUGCCGCGUGUGUGAAGAAGGCCUUCGGGUUGUAAAGCACUUUCAGUUGUGAGGAAAAGUUAGUAGUUAAUACCUGCUAGCCGUGACGUUAACAACAGAAGAAGCACCGGCUAACUCCGUGCCAGCAGCCGCGGUAAUACGGAGGGUGCGAGCGUUAAUCGGAAUUACUGGGCGUAAAGCGCACGCAGGCGGUUUGUUAAGCUAGAUGUGAAAGCCCCGGGCUCAACCUGGGAUGGUCAUUUAGAACUGGCAGACUAGAGUCUUGGAGAGGGGAGUGGAAUUCCAGGUGUAGCGGUGAAAUGCGUAGAUAUCUGGAGGAACAUCAGUGGCGAAGGCGACUCCCUGGCCAAAGACUGACGCUCAUGUGCGAAAGUGUGGGUAGCGAACAGGAUUAGAUACCCUGGUAGUCCACACCGUAAACGCUGUCUACUAGCUGUGUGUGUCUUUAAGACGUGCGUAGCGAAGCUAACGCGCUAAGUAGACCGCCUGGGGAGUACGGCCGCAAGGUUAAAACUCAAAUGAAUU